rnacentral:rRNA from 1 species
UACGAAGGGUGCAAGCGUUAAUCGGAAUUACUGGGCGUAAAGCGUGCGUAGGCGGUUCGUUAAGUCUGAUGUGAAAGCCCUGGGCUCAACCUGGGAAUGGCAUUGGAUACUGGCGGGAUAGAGUGUGGUAGAGGGGUGCGGAAUUCUCGGUGUAGCGGUGAAAUGCGUAGAGAACGGGAGGAACAUCUGUGGCGAAGGCGGCACCCUGGACCAGCACUGAAGCUGAGGCACGAAAGCGUGGGGAGCAAGCAGG